CGGCGGACGGGGUGAGUAACACGUGGGUAACCUGCCUGUAAGACUGGGAUAACUCCGGGAAACCGGGGCUAAUACCGGAUGGUUGUCUGAACCGCAUGGUUCAGACAUAAAAGGUGGCUUCGGCUACCACUUACAGAUGGACCCGCGGCGCAUUAGCUAGUUGGUGAGGUAACGGCUCACCAAGGCGACGAUGCGUAGCCGACCUGAGAGGGUGAUCGGCCACACUGGGACUGAGACACGGCCCAGACUCCUACGGGAGGCAGCAGUAGGGAAUCUUCCGCAAUGGACGAAAGUCUGACGGAGCAACGCCGCGUGAGUGAUGAAGGUUUUCGGAUCGUAAAGCUCUGUUGUUAGGGAAGAACAAGUGCCGUUCAAAUAGGGCGGCACCUUGACGGUACCUAACCAGAAAGCCACGGCUAACUACGUGCCAGCAGCCGCGGUAAUACGUAGGUGGCAAGCGUUGUCCGGAAUUAUUGGGCGUAAAGGGCUCGCAGGCGGUUUCUUAAGUCUGAUGUGAAAGCCCCCGGCUCAACCGGGGAGGGUCAUUGGAAACUGGGGAACUUGAGUGCAGAAGAGGAGAGUGGAAUUCCACGUGUAGCGGUGAAAUGCGUAGAGAUGUGGAGGAACACCAGUGGCGAAGGCGACUCUCUGGUCUGUAACUGACGCUGAGGAGCGAAAGCGUGGGGAGCGAACAGGAUUAGAUACCCUGGUAGUCCACGCCGUAAACGAUGAGUGCUAAGUGUUAGGGGGUUUCCGCCCCUUAGUGCUGCAGCUAACGCAUUAAGCACUCCGCCUGGGGAGUACGGUCGCAAGACUGAAACUCAAAGGAAUUGACGGGGGCCCGCACAAGCGGUGGAGCAUGUGGUUUAAUUCGAAGCAACGCGAAGAACCUUACCAGGUCUUGACAUCCUCUGACAAUCCUAGAGAUAGGACGUCCCCUUCGGGGGCAGAGUGACAGGUGGUGCAUGGUUGUCGUCAGCUCGUGUCGUGAGAUGUUGGGUUAAGUCCCGCAACGAGCGCAACCCUUGAUCUUAGUUGCCAGCAUUCAGUUGGGCACUCUAAGGUGACUGCCGGUGACAAACCGGAGGAAGGUGGGGAUGACGUCAAAUCAUCAUGCCCCUUAUGACCUGGGCUACACACGUGCUACAAUGGACAGAACAAAGGGCAGCGAAACCGCGAGGUUAAGCCAAUCCCACAAAUCUGUUCUCAGUUCGGAUCGCAGUCUGCAACUCGACUGCGUGAAGCUGGAAUCGCUAGUAA
rnacentral:rRNA from 1 species